rnacentral:tRNA from 1 species
UGCAUCGGCCUUGAAUCGAACCCGGACCGCCCGCGUUGGCAGGCGAGCAUUCUACCACUGAACCACCGAUGC